rnacentral:rRNA from 1 species
GACAGAGGGUGCAAACGUUGCUCGGAAUCACUGGGCGUAAAGGGCGUGUAGGCGGGAAGGAAAGUCAGAUGUGAAAUCCCUGGGCUCAACCCAGGAACUGCAUUUGAAACUCCCUUUCUUGAGUACCGGAGAGGAAGGUGGAGUUCCUGGUGUAGAGGUGAAAUUCGUAGAUAUCAGGAGGAACACCGGUGGCGAAGGCGGCCUUCUGGACGGUAACUGACGCUGAGACGCGAAAGCGUGGGGAGCAAACAGG